AAAUUGAAGAGUUUGAUCAUGGCUCAGAUUGAACGCUGGCGGCAGGCCUAACACAUGCAAGUCGAACGGUAACAGGAAGCAGCUUGCUGCUUCGCUGACGAGUGGCGGACGGGUGAGUAAUGUCUGGGAAACUGCCUGAUGGAGGGGGAUAACUACUGGAAACGGUGGCUAAUACCGCAUAACGUCGCAAGACCAAAGAGGGGGACCUUCGGGCCUCUUGCCAUCAGAUGUGCCCAGAUGGGAUUAGCUUGUUGGUGAGGUAACGGCUCACCAAGGCGACGAUCCCUAGCUGGUCUGAGAGGAUGACCAGCCACACUGGAACUGAGACACGGUCCAGACUCCUACGGGAGGCAGCAGUGGGGAAUAUUGCACAAUGGGCGCAAGCCUGAUGCAGCCAUGCCGCGUGUAUGAAGAAGGCCUUCGGGUUGUAAAGUACUUUCAGCGGGGAGGAAGGUGUUGCGGUUAAUAACCGCAGCAAUUGACGUUACCCGCAGAAGAAGCACCGGCUAACUCCGUGCCAGCAGCCGCGGUAAUACGGAGGGUGCAAGCGUUAAUCGGAAUUACUGGGCGUAAAGCGCACGCAGGC
rnacentral:rRNA from 2 species